AUUAGGUAGUUGGCGGGGUAACGGCCCACCAAGCCUGCGAUCAGUAACUGGUGUGAGAGCACGACCAGUCACACGGGCACUGAGACACGGGCCCGACUCCUACGGGAGGCAGCAGUAAGGAAUAUUGGUCAAUGGACGCAAGUCUGAACCAGCCAUGCCGCGUGAAGGAUGAAGGUCCUCUGGAUUGUAAACUUCUUUUAUAUGGGACGAAACCCGGGCAUUCCUGCCCGAUUGACGGUACCAUAGGAAUAAGCACCGGCUAACUCCGUGCCAGCAGCCGCGGUAAUACGGAGGGUGCAAGCGUUAUCCGGAUUCACUGGGUUUAAAGGGUGCGUAGGAGGGUAGGUAAGUCAGUGGUGAAAUCUCCGGGCUCAACUCGGAAACUGCCGUUGAUACUAUCUGUCUUGAGUACCGUGGAGGUGAGCGGAAUAUGUCAUGUAGCGGUGAAAUGCUUAGAUAUGACAUAGAACACCGAUUGCGAAGGCAGCUCACUACACGAAUAUUGACUCUGAGGCACGAAAGCGUGGGGAUCAAACAGGAUUAGAUACCCUGGUAGUCCACGCCCU
rnacentral:rRNA from 1 species